rnacentral:rRNA from 1 species
AUACGUAGGGUGCAAGCGUUAAUCGGAAUUACUGGGCGUAAAGCGUGCGCAGGCGGUUUUGUAAGACAGAGGUGAAAUUCCCGGGCUCAAACUGGGAACUGGCUUUGGGACCGGAAAGCUCGAGGACGGCAGAGGGGGUGGGCAUUCCGCGUGUAGCAGUGAAAUGCGUAGAUAUGCGGAGGAACACCGAUGGCGAAGGCAAUCCCCUGGGCAUGUACUGACGCUCAUGCACGAAAGCGUGGGGAGCAAACAGGAUUAGAUACCCUGGUAGUCCACGCCCUAAACGAUGUCAACUGGUUGUUGGGUCUUCAUUGACUCAGUAACGAAGCUAACGCGUGAAGUUGACCGCCUGGGGAGUACGGCCGCAAGGUUGAAACUCAAAUGAAUUGGCGGGG